rnacentral:rRNA from 1 species
GACGAACGCUGGCGGCGUGCUUAACACAUGCAAGUCGAACGGACAGGCCCUGCUUUUGUGGGGUGCUCGAGUGGCGAACGGGUGAGUAACACGUGAGUAACCUGCCCUUGACUUUGGGAUAACUUCAGGAAACUGGGGCUAAUACCGGAUAGGAGCUCCUGCUGCAUGGUGGGGGUUGGAAAGUUUCGGCGGUUGGGGAUGGACUCGCGGCUUAUCAGCUUGUUGGUGGGGUAGUGGCUUACCAAGGCUUUGACGGGUAGCCGGCCUGAGAGGGUGACCGGCCACAUGGGGACUGAGAUACGGCCCAGACGCCUACGGGAGGCAGCAGUGGGGAAUAUUGCACAAUGGGCGGAAGCCUGAUGCAGCAACGCCGCGUGCGGGAUGACGGCCUUCGGGUUGUAAACCGCUUUCGCCUGUGACGAAGCGUGAGUGACGGUAAUGGGUAAAGAAGCACCGGCUAACUACGUG